GUCUGAUAUGGGAAAAACUUUUGAAAGGCUAUGUACUCCUUUGGGGACAAGUUUUUUUUAAAUUAUUGCAUUGUACUUAUUUUGAGCUAAAAAUAAUUUUUUCAAUUGGUCUUUAAAAAAAAAUGGAUUCCUUUUUUGUGUACAUAGCU